UAUCAAUCUAGUGUUUCGCAGAUUGUUGUAAACUUGACUUAAUUCAACGUACAUGAAUUCCAAGUCAAGGAUUUUCAACAAGUAAUUUCGUCGCUUGUACAAGAUUCGCUUACCAUUUUCUUCUGUUAUCUGUUGUCAGAUAUUGGAUUCUUAUAAUUUUGGUUUAUUUUAUUUCAAUAAUUUGUUUAGUCAUUACUAAAAAAAUCAUUACGAAACAUGAUUUCUGGAACAAAUAUCGAAUAGUUGGUGCUGUGGUUAAUUUUAUUGAUGAUGAUAUUCCAAAGUAUAGACGUGGUUACAUGCCAAUGCACAUGACCUGCAUGUGGAGGUUUUCAGGAACCAUUGGAGCUGGGAAUAUCCGAAUAACAUCAUCGAAAACUAAUGAGAUGAAUAUAUAUGUUAUAUAUUCCUUCAUUUUUUGCGGGCUUUUCCCAUGGACGUCAGACGAUAAAAAAAACAUAUUAUAUAUAUUAAUAUUUAAAAUAUUUCUAAUCAACACUAAAUAAAAGAUGAAAUCGAAAAAUUGACUUAAGAUUUGUUAUCAAUAAGGGUAAUUUCAAUAUAUACAAAGAAAUACAUAUUACGCGUUUGUGAGGGGUGUUAAGCUACGAUUUAUUGCAGUUUGCUAUAAACGAAAAAUAACGUGAUUAAAAAUAGGAUUUAAUACUCUAAAUCGACACGCCUCGGGCUAUGAUAUCGUGUUAAUAAAAGACUUUUUAUUAAAAUAAAAAUUUUUUAAUUUCCUUCACUAUAUUAUUAUUUUUUCAAAUAUUUUGUUUAGUUCCGCCAUUAUAACUUAUUAUUAUGUAGUGUUUCACAGACUAACAUCUGUUUAAAAUAUUUUCUUAUUAUAUUUUGUUUCGUUUUAUAUAUAAUGAUUGAAAUUUUAGUGUUAAAUCGAUGCGGAAUAUGUUUUCUGAGGCAAAUGUCCGACCGUUGUUCUGGUGGGUAAUUGCAAUAUUGAUUCUGCUGCAAGCUGUAGAUAUGAUAGCGUGUCAGGGCAAUGGAGGAGAUUGGUUAGAUAGAUAUCUGGAACAAAUGAAGUUGAAUCUACAAUUUAAGACAAAUGUACAAGAAAAUAAUAAUCAAAAUGAUUUUAAAACUCGCAGAUUGGAAUGAUAUUAUUCCAAUAGAAUAAUGGCAUCCUCUCCAUGGAUUAUCGAAUAAACACAGAAACCUGCUUUAUAUAAUAAUAUUUUAAUCUUGCCAAACCAUAAACAGUUAUUAAAACUAAAAUUGCAAUAAAUGAUUGAUUUCAAUAAACACUGAGAAAAC